ensembl:lncRNA
GCAAAAGUUGGAUUUUCCUAAUUUUCAUAAAUGAGCACAUGCAUAUAUCUGCAACCACAGGAGGAGACUAAUAUGAUAACGCAUAAAAUUGCAUAAAUGAAUGACAACGAAGCACAGUUUACAAUUGUGUAAAAUCGACCUUUAAUGGCAAAAAAACAAAUAAAAAAAAAACAAAGAGAAACUGUAGAUUGUCUACUUUGGCUCGUUGUAUCCGUUUCUUCUGUACAUUUAUGAUAGAGACUGUAAGAAAUUAGGCUAUAGCUGGUUUUUAUAAACAAAUUGUGUAAAUGAUUGCAAAUGAGUGAUGAUUAGAGAUUACUGUUAAAAAAAUAAAUUGUAAAUAAACCCAGCUUAACUACAUCAUCUAUAUGGGUGUAGAAUACGCACUUGUAUGAUAAGAUUGUAUUAAAUAAAAUGUAUCGUUUUGUAUCGUUUUCUUCGAACAGAUUAUAAAAUAAAGUUGUGCAGGUUCUGUGAGUGUUACAGAAGGGUGACGUUAUCUCUGCAUUUUAAAUGGAAAAUCACAAUUCAACGCUGCAGCAUAUUGAGACUUUCAUUCUAUAUCUUUAAACUUCAAAAACAUGGAAGAUAGGACCGUCUACAUAGCACUUACACAAUUUUAUAAAUUCUUUGAAACCAUUAACUAUUUGCAUUUAUUUGGACAGAAACCUAAUAGUAUGAAGCGCCUGAAUGCGCGCUUGAUAAAGAGAAAACUCACCGCCAGGGGUCGCUAAUGUCAAGACUGUAGUUGGCACACGUUGCAUGUCCAUCAUUAAGCGCUGUUAAACUUAGGCUAUAGGAUUAUAAAAGGCCUUGCAACGCUUGAGUCACAUUAGUGCAACAUUAGUGUCGACAUAUCGUAUGCUAUUAGCUACAGCAUUAAGGAUAGCAAGCAGUGCGUUUUUACACAUUUUAAAUAUUAAGAACAUGUAUCAUUAGCCCAGUUACUUGUUUAGGCUGAAAUAACAUGGAGACUGUGGUGUAAAACUGAAUGAUAAUCAGAGACUUUUAGUUAUUCCCAUUAUUACUGUUUGCAGUUUUAAGAUGAUAGUCAAAAAACCUUAAAAAAUGAAAUGCGCUCUUCUGAUAUGACUGAAGGUUCAUUGUCUGGUUAUUAGUUAAAGUCCCGUUUAGUGCCCUACAGGUUCAAAUCAACACAGUAAGUGCUGGAACAUCUGCAGGGCACGACACAGCUGGGUCAACAGUCACAGGACAUUCAUUUAACCCAGGUGGCCUUUGUGAAUGAAGAGAGCGGACUCUUCACUUAAACACACUUCAUUACGCGUGUUGGGGUCAAGAAAAUAUCAGCAUUUAGUCCCCAUCCGCUGUCGGAAUGGUCAUUCUGCCUCCAGCCCAAGAAGACUGACACAUGCAUUUUUCAUUUAGCCUACUGAUUAAUUACAGAUUGACACUACAUAAAUGUGCGAGUGCGCUUAUCCAUGUUAUAAAGCUAUUAUAAUAGGCUACAUUAUAAAGUGAAGAGUGCCUUUACAUUUUCUUUUACAUUUGCAAGAGUAAUGAAAAACAACAACUUAUAAUAAUAAUACAGUAAGCACUCAGAAUGUUAUAUUAUAUACAGACAAUAAGUAAAUUAUUUAAAACCAAAUGAGGUGUAGAAAUGGAGUGUAUGUUUGAAAUAUCUGUCAUGUAACUUUUUUUUAAAUGAAAUAAAUGAUUAUAGCCUACAGUUGGCCGAUGAGAGUAAACAGAUGCAGUGGAUUUCAAGAAAUUAUUAUUUAUAUAGCUGACCAGUUUCAGAUGGCAUCUUUUGCACACGCUCGCGCCUUAAAUUAUUUAUUUCUGUAUAGCUGUUUCUUUUAAAGUUAAAAACUCUAUAGUCUAUAAUACAAGCCAUAAAGUCUGAAUUGAGGCUGUAAAAUAAACUGUCUGUAGCAAUAUAGUAAUAAUAUAAUAUAUAUAAUUGUAACAUAUGCAACAAUAAGAAAUGUAACUUUUUUGAGGUAUUCUGUUACAUGUUUGAAUAAAAAGAAUUUAUGCAACAGUGGAAACCUAGCAAGUGAUCAGAGACAAGAACAAAAAGUAUACGGGAAAUAUUUACAUCUGCUCUUCUUUUUCUUCUAUAACAGUGCCAUUUUUUCUCCUGUAACAAACUGCAUAUGGUUAUUAGAUAUAUUUUUAAAACAUGAUUGUACUUACGCUCUUGUAUUUUCCUUAGCCCCAGAAUCAGCCCCAGAUUUUUUUUAUCGUUUCCAGAAUCUUCAGUAGCCUACUUGGAGACAAAUAGACCCAUGAUAACAGAGUAACAGAUUGCAGUCACAGAAAGAUAAACGUACAGUGAAUUGCCAUGUAAAGGUAUGUGCAAAAUUGAAAUGAUAAAUGUAUAAAGCCUAUACCUACUUUUACAAAGUUUCAUAUUUUGAAUUUAAUAAACCUCUUACUCAUUUUAAAAAGCAAAUAUUUUAGGCCAAAGCUGAAAUUAUAGGCAUAACUUAAUUCAUUUUAGGUUACUAUAGGAACUCUGCAACCUAUAGGCGACACUCUGUCCCGCGCGCACUCCGCAAACCAUGGAAAGCGAGCGCGCAAGAGAGAGAGAAGCGGAGAAAGGGAGCACGCGCGUGUGAUUGUGAUUGGUCGCCCGGCUGCCUGCUGCUGGAGUGACGUCACUGCAGGAGAGAACUGCCAGAAGAGGAUGCAUUUAGUCAGAAACUAGACUCUCUCAAGCUGGAGAGAGAGAACAUCUCAUCCACAGCGCGGGAGGGAAGGGAAUGAGACAAUCGCAUGCAGGUUUCAUAAAGUAAACGUUGCAUCUCUUCUCACGUCCAUGCAUGAACACUGUAAGCAUGCUUUUCAAGGGAGGAAUUCCCCAUCUUGGAAAUUAAACUGCCUGUUCCGUUCUCUUGAUGGCUGAGACGCAACGUUCGAUGGCUGAAUACGAGUACUGACUGCGAGUUCUGAAUGGAAACCGCAUCGCUGAAGAGAUGUAGGCAACUGGAGAGUUUGGCUUUUGACUAGAUGCUUCCGCGCUGCCCAGAGAUUUUAGCGUCAUGUUCUUCAACGCAAGACGCACGGGAACCUCUAUUCGUCCCCGACACACGGCCACUCGUAGCUUACUUUCUGACAGAGAGGAAUACGCACGUCAAUUGUUAAAAGUCAACUUAAUGAGAUGUUCCACAUCAAAAAAAAAAAAAAAAGUGUUGACAGGAGGUAGUUGCUAUCUUUGGUUAUCUAGCUGUAUGAGUGUUUAUCUUCCUUCAUAAAGCUAGAUAACCGAAAGUAGAAACGUCCUCCUUAACUGCAUAGUGGACAAGUUGGGAAGCAAUGAUCGCAGGGAACUGCAUGAGCCUCUCAAACUGCUGUGUCUUUGUGAGAGACCAGAGGACUGGAGCUAAGGGGGAAAACGCCAUCUGCAACUGCCAGCCAUUUACACUGCCUUUUUGGAGCAAGAGGGAGAGAGGAAAAAAUGGUGCAAUUGUCCAAAUGAAAGAAAAGAAAAAUAAUAGUCAACCCUCAUCCUUCUUCUACCAGCUCCCCUCCCUUCUUCAUCAACGGAAGCAUUUAGUGCCAUCUGUGCCCCCGGAGAAAAGAGGAAAAAAGGAAAGGAGUGAGACUCUACAUCCCAAGUGCCAAUGGGGACAAAGAGGCUGCCAGUUGCCACGGACCACCAGAUGCAGGAAGACUGCAAGUCUGAAUGAGGGGUGUGCUUUCAGGAAGCCAUCUUGAUGGAGAAACUGGCUGCUGCUCCCUAAAAUGGCUGUGUUGGCAUGAGGCUCCUGGCGAUGAAACUCUGAAAAAUUCCCAUCAUUGUCAUCAGCUGCUGGAGAAACCGUGGCCAUGCUGCUAUGUUUGACUCAAAUGGUCAAUCACAUCACCUCAGGAAUCCAGCGUCCAGCAUUUCUUCCAGAUGGUUCGCUGUGAAAAUUUAACAAGCAGAUGAUUUCGAAUGUGCACUAAUUGUCUUAAAACCUUGCAGACAAUCAGUAAUACUGGAUGGGUGUGUGGAUUUGGGCUGUUCGCCCAGUUAAAUCUUAGAUGUUAGAAAAUGUGUUGUACAAUCUUAUCAGUGCUGUGUAAACUGAAGAGCAUAAUGUGCCUUAAUGUGUGAAAAGUUUACAAUGAAAGUAGUUGUUAUUGAAACAUGUCAGUGCAAUCCCGAUUUUAAAUAUUAGUAUUUUCAAUGACCUUUCAUGUUAGUCAUCCAUGUUUCAUGUUAUUAUAUUAUAAAAUGUGCCUGUUUCAGUUGAUUUACAGGAAAUUGGUUAAUCCAGAUAUUUUGUAUGGCUACUGUAUGUAUGGUUUAAUACAAGAAUUAUGCUCAGUUUCUCUCUGGAUUAUCAUUUGUCUGAUUAUGUGAUAUGUGAAACAAAUUUAUUAAGCUGCACAAAUAAACAACAUUAAAGCACUGAGUAAAUGAUUGUUGGAUUGCUGAAAAAGCCAUUUUAAGUUAUACUCUGUAUAGAAAUGUACUGUAAUGGGAGGUGGACAUCAACACAGCUUCACAUGUAGUGGCCACAGGCUAAUUUGUAACCACCUACUUGAAGACAGCUUGACAGCUCAUAGUUCUGGUGCUCCUGUCAGCACCUUGGACAGCACAUAAUAAGCAAGUGCAGAAAAUAACUAGCAGUGAAUCACCUCUCUUAUUCAUGCAGAAGUCACAAAAAAAAAUAAUAAUAAUAAAACCUAUGUGCUGGCCUGGUGUGAGUAAGCGCAGUGUGCUUAAGGUGACGUGUUUGUGUUUUUAAUCUGUGGGAAGGGGAUCAAACAAUUUUGUAUAAUUCUGUCAGUGGGAUUUGUUUGACUGGCAAACACUCAAACACUGCAUGUCAAUGAUUGUUUUCAUUUACUGAGAUUAUAUCUGAAGCAUAGUCUACAUAAAACAGAGAAUUUGUCACGUUAAAAGAUUAUCAACAGAUUUAACAUAUGAAGUAAAAUUAUUUUGAGCCAAAAUUGAGAGCUCAUUUCUAUGUCUGAGCUGGAAUAAUCAUUCAUCACAUUGUCAGCUGAUGAGAAAUAUACCUGGUGUAAAACACUGGUUAAAUUACAUUAAGCCAUAAAGGAAGGAUUCACACACAGCUCUCAAGUUAAGAUGGAUGUCUAUGACAAAUCUGACAAGAUUUAAUCUUCAGUUGAAAUUUAAUUUUGAUGGGUGUUUUUCCUGCGCAGUUCCAGAAUCACAAACACAUCUGAAGAGUUUUCACUCUCGAGUUUGUCAGUGAAUCGUGGAGUAGUACAAAUGAUCGUGUGCUCUAUCAAAUAAAACCUUUAUAUCUUAUGUUAAAAUAGGCCUGCUUUUAAUUAGAUUACUUCCAACCAAUAGCCUAUAUAACUUAAUCGGAAUUUGAAUAUUAUAUUUAAAAUACGUUUCUGUACAUUUUUACAUAUAAUUCCACGUCUGUUGCUUCAUUCAGUUUUUGUGGAGCGUACAGAAGACGGGCAGAUCAUUUUUAGAGCUUAAAGAGAUUAAAAAGUUUACGUUCUCAAUAUCAUCUUAUCAAAACAUGUUGCAGGCAGUGGUGAAAUGCAUACGUUGAAUAAGUUUGGGCACAAACUUUGGUUACAUGAACUAUUUCACCACCGAUAAUGCUGAGAAUGUUCUACCUGAUUUUACGCGAAAAAACAAAAGAUGUGGAAACUAUUCUCCAUUUUAUUGCAUAAUGAAACUCCUUCCCACCAGUUUAUAUCAUUUAUUAUGGCGUAAUUGACUUGCAUCAAUUAAAUUAACAAAAAAGGGGGAAAGAAACAAACUGACGAUAUCAACAGAACAAAAUUCAUUUAUUUUAUUUCAUUACAAAACUUUACAACUAUCCAUCGUAUAUGCUAUUCAACAAACAUUUACUGUAAGCAAUAACCAAUCUCUGUAUUAGAUUUCCAGUAAUUUAAAUCAUAGCGUUCAUAUCAGGAUAAGCCUGUGGAGAAAGAAGAGACUCGUUAGUCGUCGGAUGUCGAGUUAAUAUUGUAGGAGAGACUGCACUGCUGUAACACGGGGUAAGUUGUAAGUUUGCAAUUAGAAAUCAGCUACAGGGGUGAAAUCUGCAUCAUAUACAUGAGCACCACUCCACUGAGUUAGAGGUACAAAUCGUAAGACUCUCUGUAAAAAUAUAGAAGAUUUACAAGGCAAAAAAAUUCGAGAUGUCUCCCCGUCUCUUUUAAUUUAGUGUGAUGAAUGAUUUUACAUUACAUAUGGGUUAAUAUCAUCUGAUUCAGCAGGUUCUCUUGUUCAAUUUGAAAUACACACACGCUUUUAAUUCAAAUUUUAUAUCUGACCAGACAGGAAGGGUUGUAACACUUUCCAAUGCAGAAAUAUUGAGGGCAACAACAGUGCAAACUCAACACACAUGUCUGUUUUUACAGUGUGUUUGUUCCCAAAUGUAUUUGCUGUUUUGCUUUAAAUUGUUCUAUAUUUGUUAAAUUAAAAUGUUUAAAAUGUCCAUGUUUUCUAUUAAUGUUUUAACUCACCACAGCAGUUGUUACAGUAGCGCUCUUUGCACUUGACAUUCAAUUUCACAGUUUAGGUUGUAGAUUUUAAAACAACUGUUUUUUUUUAUUAUCAUUAUUGGAUUCUGAAUAUGUUUAUGUGCAGAUAAACUGUAUCGAUGUUAUGUUGGAGCCAGCAAAAAAAAAAAAAAAACCCUUUGCGUAUAGCUAUCGAAAUGGGGGAAGUGCAUAGAUUGUUUCUAUAGUUACACAUUUUAUAACCUAGCCCUAAAACCCACACUCCAAACAUGACAAAACCAUCUGCAUUUUUACAAAUAUGGUUAAGUAGCCUAGGUACACACACUCCAUGUUCUCCCCUCAUCUUUACAACAGCUUUUCUAGCUGACCUCUGAGGUUUAAGCAAUAGAAUAGGGUAUGACUGUUCAUGGUUGACCAAGGGGUCAGACCACUCUUAACUGACCAGACACGUGCUCUUUGCUCUAAACAAGCCUCUUAAAGAAAAAGAAUAGGUCUUAAACAAAUGAUGAGCCCGUGGGGGAGGGGAAGUUUGUUAUUCUGCGAAAAGAACAACAUUCUUCAUGCGCAAGCAACAUACAUAUUAGUCUUGAUGUAUUGUUAAAAUAGUCUAAAUGAAAAAAAGUGAAGUCACAAACAUCUAGAGCACAGUGAAAUACAUUUUAAUGUGCUAUCAUAGCUAGGCCUUUGUCAAAAUGUAGGCUUACUAUUAAUAUAAUUUCUAAAACGUAUUUAGCCAUUUUACAUAAAUAUUAACCAAUCUGCGAUCCAGAAGUCAAAGGAGACUUAAUUGAUGCCCUUCAGCGUCAUAUUUGAAGUUGAUGUCAACGCAAGUCUCUCGAGCACCAGUCACAGCUGACACAAGGGUCAGAGGUGAUGUGCUGGGUUCAAGUGGUUUGUCCAGUUAUUCCCAAAGGGCCAAUCGAAUGAUCUAAGAUGAAAGAGAUGACAAGAUUUUGCUCUGUGUCCCACUAUUAAUUCUUCUGACUUCAUUUUACUUAAAAAGAUUGUAGGCCUAUUUGAAAGCAUCUAGACAUAAAUGAGGCUUAGGCCUUAUUUCUGUUUAGGCUUUAAUGACAAACGCAUUUCUUUUAUUUACUUAAUGUUUGGAUAAAAAUAACUAUUUGGUUAAAAUAAAACAGGGUAAAUGCAUCUCAGUUUAAGCUUGGAUAACAAAAUGUAAGCGUCGACUAAUUAAAAACAUUUCAUAACAUCAAAGGACACCGUUGUUUGUAUUCUGAUCUAUCUACAUUUUUAUUCUGCUGAAUUCAGAAUUCCGAUGUAGGCUACAUUCUUCAUGUUUUGUUAUUAAACGGGACGCAUUAGAACGCUAAAAACGCCGGAAAUGACCCACCAAAGUGCGCGCGCUAACUGCAGGUGUUAAGUCACGUGGCGCUGUAUGAUCGUUUGUGUUUAUUCAUUUAUUCUGCUCGGAUUUUCUGCUUGUCAUAAGCAGAUAAAUAGCAACCACUGUACAGCGAGGCAUAAAGGUCUCACCUAUUUAGAAACACUGAGAAAUUAAUCGUGAGGCGUGACGUAGGGGAGAGAAAACAUUAUUUUUUCGUUAUAUGGUUAAAGUAAACAAAGAAACUAACAUUAGGGGAGAGUUUUUAAGUUUAACCGAUUAGAAAUCAGCUAGGCUACAUGACUAAAAUAAUGAGCAGCACCCUUCUGAGCUAGAUGUUAGCUGUUAGUGUAAAACAAAAGAUUUAUAAGAGAGAGAAAAUAAACUACAAAUUCACGUCUGGAUUAUAGUUUAUGCAUUUGUGGUCACGUCGUUUUUAAAUGACAGAAAUAUAAUCUGAAACAGUAGCCUAGUUUUUGUUUAAUUUUGAUAUAGGUUAUAACACACAAUCGCAGUUGUGACGCAUUCACAACACACAACCUGUCUGAUCCAUAUUUUUUAUAUGUAGCUAUUUACGUUGUUUUUUUCUGUUUGUUUCUCAUUUUAUUUUCUGCUUUAAAUGUAAAUGUUUCUUGUAUAUUUAAAAUAUAAAAGAGAGUGCGAAAUAGAGAGAGAGGGAAUAUGGGUGGUGAUACAUUUUUUUUUUUUUAAUUUCCACAUAAAUUUAUGUUUAAACAGUUCAUGUUUUCUAUUGGAUUAAACAUGAAAUUAAAUUAACUGAUUUUAAACAAAUAAUGGAAUUUUAUUUCAAAGUUUGAGACACAUGUAGCACAAAAAACACAGAGCUAUACAGGCGUAGAAAAUGUGUUGCAACACGCCUCGGUCUCCUCUAACAUACGGUCCCCAAAAUACUGAAAUAUCCACGGAGAAAAAAAAAAAAAGCUCAGCACCGAAAGUCUUUCAUUAAGAGCCAGACGAGCAGCAAUUAGCGACAGAGCAGCUCAGCAAAGCCAAGAGCGCCGGGAUUAUUGUCCAAUCAUUUAUAUCUUCCAAACCAGUAAGCAUUAGAGUUUGUAAUGUAAGUUAGCAUAAGAAUAGGAACAGGUCCUGUGAACUUCCCCGACCUUCUGACCCUCUUUUACCGAGAUGAAUAGCACCACUUUCAGACACCCCAGCCUCUUCAACAGGCUUGAACCAUGCCUAAAUUCCCAAUCAUGGUAAUUUAAUAUAUCUUAAGCCCCCCCGGCUGCAUGAUUCCAGUUUUUCUAUAGUUUAAUGUAGGCAUCUGUGUCGAUUCACUCCUUACUCGGGCUGCUACGGGACUAGUUUUCUCUUAUAACCUAUAAAAGCCAAGAUGAAUGGCGUUCCCAUCUUUUCAGUGUCAUUUUGAUAAAAAGACAGUACAAUUAGUCUACAAUCAGCUCCACAACAAUAACACUGUUAGGAUGCAUCCGAAAUCGUGCACGACUGAUGUAUACACACACUUGCUUUCAUAAAAGCAAACUCUUUAUUUAUUUGUUUCUUGGGAGGUUUGCAGUUUAUUGAAAUAACUAAAUAGCAAGUGGAAGCUCAUGACUGAUUCUAAACAUUGCUCAGUGACUGGCAGGUUUGAGGCGCGUGCGCGAGUCUAACAAAUGCCCCUGCCUCUUUGAUGAAUGGCGAAUAUCUAAUGAGGCAGAUGGGCACCUACUGUACUUUUCAUUGUUUGCAGAUAAUGCAUCGAUUAAUAAGCCCUGGCACAUUUGAUUUAAAUGUUACAUAAAUGUUUAUUAAUGGAUUUCCAAUAAUAAUGAGACACUGAGGAUGCGAGAGCCCAUUUUUUGCCCGUCAAGCACGCCCCACGCGAACUGCCUAUUCACGCAUCUGAAGAACUAAAGGAAAAAGGCGACAUCUUUUGGCUGGAAUACCAACAAUAGAAGACACAAACCCGCCGCAUCCCUUGAACAAGGCAUUGAACAAGCACUUGAAUCCUGAAAUAGAUGCUUGCGAUUAUGCAGAACUAACAGGCACGGCUCACAUGAAAAUAAAUCCUAAAUGAUCAAUAAAGUAUCAAUAGCCUACCCCACAAUGAUCUACGCCUCCAUCUAGGGGAUGUGCGUUGGUGCAAGCUGCUGAGUGGAUAUUAAACUGUAUGAACAUCAAG